UACGAAGGGGGCGAGCGUUGUUCGGAAUUACUGGGCGUAAAGGGCGCGCAGGCGGCUCUGAAAGUCAGAUGUGAAAGCCCCGGGCUUAACCUGGGAAUUGCAUUUGAUACUCUGGAGCUUGAGUACGGGAGAGGAGAGUGGAAUUCCUGGUGUAGCGGUGAAAUGCGUAGAUAUCAGGAGGAAUACCGGUGGCGAAAGCGACUCUCUGGACGGCAACUGACGCUGAGGCACGAAAGCGUGGGGAGCAAACAGG
rnacentral:rRNA from 1 species